CCCCGUGGAGCUUUACUGUAGCCUGAUAUUGAAAUUCGGCACAGCUUGUACAGGAUAGGUAGGAGCCUUUGAAACGUGAGCGCUAGCUUACGUGGAGGCGCUGGUGGGAUACUACCCUAGCUGUGUUGGCUUUCUAACCCGCACCACUUAUCGUGGUGGGAGACAGUGUCAGGCGGGCAGUUUGACUGGGGCGGUCGCCUCCUAAAAGGUAACGGAGGCGCUCAAAGGUUCCCUCAGAAUGGUUGGAAAUCAUUCAUAGAGUGUAAAGGCAUAAGGGAGCU
rnacentral:rRNA from 1 species